GACGAACGCUGGCGGCGUGCUUAACACAUGCAAGUCGAACGGAAAGGCCCUGCUUGCAGGGUACUCGAGUGGCGAACGGGUGAGUAACACGUGGGUGAUCUGCCCUGCACUUCGGGAUAAGCCUGGUAAACUGGGUCUAAUACCGGAUAGGAGCCAUUUUUAGUGUGAUGGUUGGAAAGUUUUCUCGGUGUAGGAUGAGCUCGCGGCCUAUCAGCUUGUUGGUGGGGUAAUGGCCUACCAAGGCGGCGACGGGUAGCCGGCCUGAGAGGGUGGACGGCCACAUUGGGACUGAGAUACGGCCCAGACUCCUACGGGAGGCAGCAGUGGGGAAUAUUGCACAAUGGGCGCAAGCCUGAUGCAGCGACGCCGCGUGGGGGAUGACGGCCUUCGGGUUGUAAACUCCUUUCGCUAGGGACGAAGCUUUUUGUGACGGUACCUAGAGAAGAAGCACCGGCUAACUACGUG
rnacentral:rRNA from 1 species